rnacentral:rRNA from 1 species
AUUGAACGCUGGCGGCAAGCCUAACACAUGCAAGUCGAACGAGUGGCGGACGGGUGAGUAAUGUCUGGGAAACUGCCUGAUGGAGGGGGAGAACUACUGGAAACGGUAGCUAAUACCGCAUACCAUUGGAUGUGCCCAGAUGGGUUUAGCUAGUAGGUGGGGUAAAGGCUCACCGAGGCGACGAGCCCUAGCUGGUCUGAGAGGAUGACCAGCCACACUGGAACUGAGCCACGGUCCAGACUCCUACGGGAGGCAGCAGGGGGGAAUAUUGCACAAUGGGCGCAAGCCUGAUGCAGCCAGGCCGCGUGUAUGAAGAAGGCCUUCGGGUUGUAAAGUACUUUCAGCGGGGAGGCGUUACCCGCAGAAGAAGCACCGGCUAACUCCGUGCCAGCAGCCGCGGUAAAC